rnacentral:rRNA from 1 species
UACAGAGGGGGCAAGCGUUGUUCGGAAUUCCUGGGCGUAAAGGGCGCGUAGGCGGCCUGCUAAGUCGAACGUGAAAUCCCUGGGCUCAACCCAGGAACUGCGUCCGAUACUGGUUGGCUUGAAUCCGGGAGAGGGAUGUGGAAUUCCAGGUGUAGCGGUGAAAUGCGUAGAUAUCUGGAGGAACACCGGUGGCGAAGGCGGCAUCCUGGACCGAGAUUGACGCUGAUGCGCGAAAGCCAGGGGAGCAAACGGG